rnacentral:rRNA from 1 species
CCUACGGGAGGCAGCAGUGGGGAAUAUUGCACAAUGGGCGAAAGCCUGAUGCAGCAACGCCGCGUGAAGGAAGAAGGGUUUCGGCUCGUAAACUUCUAUCAACAGGGACGAAAGAAAUGACGGUACCUGAAUAAGAAGCCCCGGCUAACUACGUGCCAGCAGCCGCGGUAAUACGUAGGGGGCAAGCGUUAUCCGGAAUUACUGGGUGUAAAGGGUGAGUAGGCGGCAUGGUAAGCCAGAUGUGAAAGCCUCGGGCUUAAACCGAGGAUUGCAUUUGGAACUAUCAAGCUAGAGUACAGGAGAGGAAAGCGGAAUUCCUAGUGUAGCGGUGAAAUGCGUAGAUAUUCGGAGGAACACCGGUGGCGAAGGCGGCCAACUGGGCUUUAACUGACGCUGAGGCUCGAAAGUGUGGGGAGCAAACAGGAUUAGAUACCUCUGUAAUC